CACGUAGGGGGCAAGCGUUGUCCGGAUUUAUUGGGCGUAAAGAGCUCGUAGGUGGUUCGGUAAGUCGGGUGUUAAACCCCCAGGCUCAACCUGGGGACGCCACUCGAUACUGCUGUGACUAGAGUCCGGUAGGGGAGCGUGGAAUUCCUGGUGUAGCGGUGAAAUGCGCAGAUAUCAGGAGGAACACCAGCGGCGAAGGCGGCGCUCUGGGCCGGUACUGACACUGAGGAGCGAAAGCGUGGGGAGCGAACAGG
rnacentral:rRNA from 1 species